UCAGUGAAUCAUCGAAUCUUUGAACGCACAUUGCGCCCGCCAGUAUUCUGGCGGGCAUGCCUGUCCGAGCGUCAUUUCAACCCUCGAACCCCUCCGGGGGGUCGGCGUUGGGGAUCGGCCCUUUACGGGGCCGGCCCCGAAAUACAGUGGCGGUCUCGCCGCAGCCUCUCCUGCGCAGUAGUUUGCACACUCGCAUCGGGAGCGCGGCGCGUCCAU
rnacentral:rRNA from 1 species